UACAGAGGUCUCGAGCGUUAGGCGGAAUCACUGGGCUUAAAGCGCGUGUAGGCGGAUCGUUAAGUACCUUGUGAAAUCCCACGGCUUAACCGUGGAACUGCUGGGUAUACUGGCGGUCUUGAGCCACCUAGGGGCCUGCGGAACAAGCGGUGGAGCGGUGAAAUGCGUAGAUAUCGGAAGGAACGCCGGUGGCGAAAGCGACGUGCUGGACCUUUUCUGACGCUGAGGCGCGAAAGCCAGGGGAGCAAACGGG
rnacentral:rRNA from 1 species